rnacentral:rRNA from 1 species
CAUGCAAGUCGAGCGGUAACAGACAUAAAGAUUCAGCUUGCUGAAUCCGGUGCUGACGAGCGGCGAACGGGUGAGUAACGCGUAGGAAUCUACCCAGUAGCGGGGGAUAGCCCGAGGAAACUCGGAUUAAUACCGCAUACGCCCUGAGGGGGAAAGGGGGCAGUUUACUGCUCUCACUAUUGGAUGAGCCUGCGUAAGAUUAGCUUGUUGGUGGGGUAAUGGCCUACCAAGGCGACGAUCUUUAGCUGGUCUGAGAGGACGAUCAGCCACAUUGGGACUGAGACACGGCCCAGACAUCUACGGAUGGCAGCAGUUAAGAAUAUUGGACAAUGGGGGCAACCCUGAUCCAGGUAUACCGCGUGUGUGAAGAAGGCCCUAGGGUUGUAAAGCACUUUAAUCAGAGAAGAAGCAGUUUAAGUUAAUACCUUAAUCUGUUGACGUUACCUGAAGAAUAAGGACCGGCUAACUCCGUGCCAGCAGCCGCGGUAAUACGGAGGGUCCAAGCGUUAAUCGGAAUUACUGGGCGUAAAGCGCGCGUAGGCGGUUUAGCAAGUUGCAUGUGAAAGCCCUGGGCUCAACCUAGGAACUGCAUUCAAAACUACUAAGCUAGAGUACGAGAGAGGAGAGUAGAAUUUCUGGUGUAGCGGUGAAAUGCGUAGAUAUCAGAAGGAAUACCAAUGGCGAAGGCAGCUCUCUGGCUCGUCACUGACGCUGAGGUGCGAAAGCGUGGGUAGCAAACAGGAUUAGAUACCCUGGUAGUCCACGCCGUAAACGAUGAGAACUAGCCGUUGGGCAGAUUUAACUGUUCAGUGGCACAGCUAACGCAUUAAGUUCUCCGCCUGGGGAGUAC